AACGCGAAGAACCUUACCAAGGCUUGACAUCCACAGAAUCCCUUGGAAACAAGGGAGUGCCCUUCGGGGAGCUGUGAGACAGGUGGUGCAUGGUUGUCGUCAGCUCGUGUCGUGAGAUGUUGGGUUAAGUCCCGCAACGAGCGCAACCCCUGUGUUUAGUUGCUAACGCAUAAAGGCGAGCACUCUAGACAGACUGCCGGUGAUAAACCGGAGGAAGGUGGGGAUGACGUCAAAUCAUCAUGCCCCUUAUGUCUUGGGCUACACACGUGCUACAAUGGCCGGUACAGACGGAAGCGAAGCCGCGAGGUGAAGCCAAAUCCGAGAAAGCCGGUCUCAGUUCGGAUUGCAGGCUGCAACUCGCCUGCAUGAAGUCGGAAUCGCUAGUAAUCGCAGGUCAGCAUACUGCGGUGAAUACGUUCCCGGGCCUUGUACACACCGCUCGUC
rnacentral:rRNA from 1 species